CAAGGCACAAGGUGCAUCGAGUAUGAGCUCGGGUAUGUUUGUCAUUGAGAUAAACAUGUCUAUUGAUAAUUCACAAUCUUGGGUAUUAGAUACAGCUUGUGGCUCACACAUUUGCAAUAAUGUGCAGGGCCUAAGUGAAACCAAGAAAGUGAUGCCUGGGGAAGUCGAUCUACGCGUGGGAAAUGGAGCAAGAGUUGCUGCUGAACGCGUGGGGACUUAUAGAUUGGAUCUUCCUUCGGGAAAUAGACUUGUUUUAAGUAAUUGUUACUUCGUUCCUUCUAUUUCUAAGAAUAUUAUUUCCAUUCCGAUGUUGGACAUUGAAG
rnacentral:lncRNA from 1 species